rfam:Bartonella bacilliformis KC583, complete genome.
UCCUCGGUAGCUCAGCGGUAGAGCAACCGGCUGUUAACCGGUUGGUCGCUGGUUCGAAUCCGGCCCGGGGAG